AUGGUGUCAAGGGCCUGUGCGUCGUGGGCGCCAUCAACAACUGUACCUCCCAGCUCCCCACCUAUGGGAGAUCUUCUCCCCCAUAAUGUAAUGUCGCUACUCUGCUACUCGUAUGUGCAUGCUCCAAUUCUGUUUGGAGGAGCUUCCAUUGAGGGCAUAUUAUUUUUUUUCCUUUUGAGUUGUCCAUCGAUCGUUGUUUGGUCCUAUAAAAGGGAAAAGGAGCAUUUUUAUACGCUCAUUUUACAAAUGUACUUGUGUUUAUCAAUUUUUAAAAUAAGGUGGACGAAUUGUACCUUUGUAGUUUCUUCUUCAGUAUCAGAUUUGGAAGCAUGUUAUUUAGAAUCAGAUUUGAGAGUAUGUUGGUUGUAA
rnacentral:lncRNA from 1 species